UUCUGACCUUAUCUUCUUCUCCAGUUCGCCUCGCACGGUUCCACGACACUGCGGAAAUUGUUAAGAUCGACCCUUCUUUCUUCCUUUCUCUCUCAUAUAUCUCUUUAUCUUAGGUAGAAGAUGUUAUCCAUGGCGGUCCAACCGAACCUUCAUGCUUCUUCCCUCAGGCCUCUUGCAUUUUCAUCUUCGAACGCCUCGGUUACAUGCAUAAAACCUUGCGUUUUCACAAAGCCCAAGCAAUUCGCUUCAAAUCUAUUUCUUAAUGCGUCGCCCCAAAAAUUUAGGCUCUCUGCCGCCGCAGCUACAGCUGAAGAAUCUCUUGAUGAGGAUACGGAGUUGGAUAAUAUCCCUGCAGUAACUCCACAGACUCAGAAACUUGGAGUGGUGGUGAAGCCAACUGACAGGCCAAGGCUUGUGUUAAAAUUCAUUUGGAUGGAGAAAAACAUUGGCAUUGCACUGGAUCAAAUGAUUCCGGGGCAUGGUAGCAUUCCUCUAAGCCCUUACUACUUUUGGCCGAGGAAAGAUGCUUGGGAAGAGCUCAAGGAGCUGCUGGAGAGCAAGCCCUGGAUAUCUCAAAAGCAAAUGAUUAUUCUUCUCAACCAAGCUACCGAUAUCAUCAACUUGUGGCAGCAGAGUGGUGGAAACUUGGUGUAAUCUUAAAUGGUACAUAAUGCAGUCAGAUUAAGGCUUCUGUAGAUUAUAUCUUGGAGAUUGUCACAUUGAGUGUUGCUGCAAUUGCAAAGUGACUCCAAUUUCUGCAGCAAUAUCCUUCAGCGCUUUCAUCUGGACCGGUCAUUUGGAAUAUAGAUUGAUGGGAAAUUGUUCGAUAUAGAUAGAAAAAGACCUGAGAGCUAGCUAAGAUAGGUCAUUUUCAAGAAGUUUAGCUCUUCCUCUCAGAAAGUUGGAGUAAUUGUCUGUCAUGACGAACACAUCCUCUACCCCGUCUUUAAGAUGAGGCAAAUUUUAAAUUUUUUGUUUAGUGUUUAAUGUAAAGUAAAAUUAGAGUAAUUAUUUUUAAAAUUUUACCCUUAUUUAUUUA